GAUGAACGCUGGCGGCAUGCCUAAUACAUGCAAGUCGGACGGGAAGUGGUGUUUCCAGUGGCGGUCGGGUGAGUAACGAGUAAGAACCUGCCCUUGGGAGGGGAACAACAGCUGGAAACGGCUGCUAAUACCCCGUAGGCUGAGGAGCAAAAGGAGUAAUCCGCCUGAGGAGGGGCUCGCGACUGAUUAGCUAGUUGGUGAGGCAAUAGCUUACCAAGGCGAUGAUGCGUAGCUGGUCCGAGAGGAUGAUCAGCCACACUGGGACUGAGACACGGACCAGGGACCUUCGGGAAACGGCAGAAAGGAAGAUUCCGCAAUGGGGCAAGGCCUAACGAGGCAAUGGGGCGUGGAAGUAGAGGGCCUACGGAACGUGAACUGCUUUACCAAGAGAAGAAGCAAUGACGGUAUCUAAGGAAUAAGCAACGGCUAACUCUGUG
rnacentral:rRNA from 1 species